GAUGAACGCUGGCGGCGUGCAUAACACAUUCAAGUCGAACGGAGCUACUUUGAUUAAUCCUUCGGGAAGCGUCGAGGUAACUUAGUGGCGGACGGGUGAGUAACGCGUGAGCAACCUGCCCUUGUGUGGGGGAUAACGUUUGGAAACGAACGCUAAUACCGCAUAAUGUAUCGAGAUUGCAUGUUCUUGAUACCAAAGAUUUAUUGCGCAAGGAUGGGCUCGCGUUGGAUUAGAUAGUUGGUGAGGUAACGGCUCACCAAGUCAACGAUCCAUAGCCGGACUGAGAGGUUGAACGGCCACAUUGGAACUGAGAAACGGUCCAG
rnacentral:rRNA from 1 species